rnacentral:rRNA from 1 species
UUUGCCUACGGGACGCAGCAGUAGGGAAUCUUCGGCAAUGGGGGCAACCCUGACCGAGCAACGCCGCGUGAGUGAAGAAGGUUUUCAGAUCGUAAAGCUCUGUUGUAAGUCAAGAACGGGUGUGAGAGUGGAAAGUUCACACUGUGACGGUAGCUUACCAGAAAGGGACGGCUAACUACGUGCCAGCAGCCGCGGUAAUACGUAGGUCCCGAGCGUUGUCCGGAUUUAUUGGGCGUAAAGAGAGCGCAGGCGGUUUGGUAAGUCUGAAGUUAAAGGCUGUGGCUCCACCAUAGUUCGCUUUGGAA